rnacentral:snoRNA from 1 species
GCCCCCCAGUUUCCUUGCCCAUAGGAUCUCAACACUGGGCUGCGCGGUUAUAAGAGGAGGACCAGUAAAAUCGAAACGGACUUCAGUUCUGAUGUGGCACUCGAGCAAGUUCCAGACAAAG